rnacentral:rRNA from 1 species
CCCUGCCCAUACCACCCUGAACAUGCCCGAUCUCGUCUGAUCUCAGAAGCUAAGCAGGGUCGGGCCUGGUUAGUACUUGGAUGGGAUACCACCCUACAAGGACUCCAAUUUGCAGUAAGGC